GCCAGGCGUGGUGGCGCGUGCCUGUAAUCCCAGUUACUCGGGAGGCUGAGGCAGAAGAAUCACUUGAACCCAGGAGACAAAGGCUGCAGUGAGCCGAGGUUGUGCCACUGCACUCUAGCCUGGGCAACACAGCAAGACUCUGUCUCAA
ensembl:misc_RNA Metazoa_SRP Metazoan signal recognition particle RNA